GACGAACGCUGGCGGCGUGCUUAACACAUGCAAGUCGAACGAAGUGGCGAACGGGUGAGUAACGCGUAAUCAACCUGCCCUUCAGAGGGGGACAACAGUUGGCAACGACUGCUAAUACCGCACACUUAAGGAGGGGAUUACUUCUGAUGAGCUAGUUGGCGGGGUAACGGCCCACCAAGGCGAUGAUCAGUAGCAGGUCUUAGAGGAUGAACGGCCACAUUGGGACUGAGAAACGGCCCAGACUCCUACGGGAGGCAGCAGUGGGGAAUCUGCCGCAAUGGACGAAAGUCUGACGGAGCAACGCCGCGUGAGUGAUGACGGCCUUCGGGUUGUAAAGCUCUGUUAAUCGGGACGCGGUACCGGAAUAGAAAGCCACGGCUAACUACGUGCCAGCAGCCGCGGUAAUAC
rnacentral:rRNA from 1 species